UAGGGAAUCUUCGGCAAUGGGGUGAACCCUGACCGAGCAACGCCGCGUGAGUGAAGAAGGUUUUCGGAUCGUAAAGCUCUGUUGUUAAGGAAGAACGAGUGUGAGAAUGGAAAGUUCAUGCUGUGACGGUACUUAACCAGAAAGGGACGGCUAACUACGUGCCAGCAGCCGCGGUAAUACGUAGGUCCCGAGCGUUGUCCGGAUUUAUUGGGCGUAAAGCGAGCGCAGGCGGUUAGAAAAGUCUGAAGUGAAAGGCAGUGGCUCAACCAUUGUAGGCUUUGGAAACUGUUUAACUUGAGUGCAGAAGUGGAGAGUGGAAUUCCAUGUGUAGCGGUGAAAUGCGUAGAUAUAUGGAGGAACACCGGUGGCGAAAGCGGCUCUCUGGUCUGUAACUGACGCUGAGGCUCGAAAGCGUGGGGAGCGAACAGG
rnacentral:rRNA from 1 species